rnacentral:rRNA from 1 species
AUUGAACGCUGGCGGCAGGCUUAACACAUGCAAGUCGAGCGGAGAGAGGUAGCUUGCUACUGAUCUUAGCGGCGGACGGGUGAGUAAUGCUUAGGAAUCUGCCUAUUAGUGGGGGACAACAUUUCGAAAGGAAUGCUAAUACCGCAUACGUCCUACGGGAGAAAGCAGGGGAUCUUCGGACCUUGCGCUAAUAGAUGAGCCUAAGUCGGAUUAGCUAGUUGGUGGGGUAAAGGCCUACCAAGGCGACGAGCUGUAGCGGGUCUGAGAGGAUGAUCCGCCACACUGGGACUGAGACACGGCCCAGACUCCUACGGGAGGCAGCAGUGGGGAAUAUUGGACAAUGGGCGCAAGCCUGAUCCAGCCAUGCCGCGUGUGUGAAGAAGGCCUUAUGGUUGUAAAGCACUUUAAGCGAGGAGGAGGCUACUUUAGAUAAUACCUAGAGAUAGUGGACGUUACUCGCAGAAUAAGCACCGGCUAACUCUGUGCCAGCCGCCGCAGUAACAC